rnacentral:rRNA from 1 species
UACGGAGGGUGCAAACGUUGCUCGGAAUCAUUGGGCGUAAAGCGCACGUAGGCGGUCCAGCAAGUCGGGUGUGAAAGCCCUCGGCUUAACCGAGGAAGUGCAUUCGAAACUACUGGACUUGAAUACUGGAGAGGAUCGCGGAAUUCCCGGUGUAGAGGUGAAAUUCGUAGAUAUCGGGAGGAACACCAGUGGCGAAGGCGGCGAUCUGGACAGAUAUUGACGCUGAGGUGCGUAAGCGUGGGGAGCAAACAGG